GUGAUGUACAGCACUGUGAUGCCUGAUCAGUUCAGGACAGAAGAGAAGGAUCCAUUUCCUGAAGCUGAUGAUGAUGUCACAUACAGCACUGUCAUCCUCCAGCACAAGACCCAACUAAAAGGACAGACCAAGUCAGCAGAACCAGAUGAU